AAUAUACUCUCUUUGUCCGGAAAUACUUGUUGAAGGAAUGGAUGUAUCUAGACGUAAUUUAGUUCUAGAUAAAUCCGGUUUAUGCAUUUCUCCAAGACGUAUUUCCGGUCAGAGAAGUAUAUC
rnacentral:pre_miRNA from 1 species